GCUCCCAGUUAGCCUCCCUUGGCUUGUGGUUCUACCACACGACCUUUACAAAUGAUAUUUCUCGGUUGCGGAGUAUUCUGCUCUUUCAGUCCGUGAUACCGACUGGUACUUCCUCAUAGGACAAGUGCUCUUAGAGUGGAAACGGUUCAUGAGCCAAGAUAUGAGAGGGGUCCGGGUUGUACUUGCAUAACAUUGAUACAUGAAACACAUUGUGGACCUUGGAGAGCUCUGGAGGCAGUACUAGU
rnacentral:lncRNA from 1 species